UGGCCUCGUCGGCAGCUACGCACGUUUUUGGCAGCGAUCCGUGGUCGCCCUUAGUCCACUCGUCGCGACGAUGGUGUUGAUCGUGUGCCCGACGUCUACGUCGACGUAGCCAGCGCGAGCCGGCGCGCGGCUCCACGAUUCCGCUCGCGCAGUGCUGCCGUGUCGGUCGAUCGAAGCGCACCGCUGAAACCUGGGAACGCCACGCAACUUCCAUUUUACGACUCCACCAUGCAUCUGCCCGGCUGCCACGUCUUCGUCCCGUGCCCACCCUUGACAUCCGUCGAGGUCUGUCGCUGCCACAGGAGACCCGUGCGUCGUCAACCAGCGUGAAGGCUGUCGAGUAGUCUGCACCUGCCUCGGGGAUUCUCGACAGUCCCCGAAUCCUCGCCAGGAUUCGAUUCGAUUCGAUUCGCUCGCAUCCGAUAAGUGACAAAGUGAUCGCUAGAAUCUGUGGCCGUGAUCGAUCGUUAUCGUUAGAGAACGCCGUGGAAGGAACAUAAACACGACGGUGGAGUAGCUCGAUAAGAGCUAGUCGAGUGCCCGAUCUACCCUGGUCUGGUUCUGCUGCAGCUGCGUACACCGAGAACACUCUCUCCGUCGUCGAUAACCGGCCAAUAAACGGCGCGGGAGGAGAAGCAGCGUCGAACGGCGCCGCUUCUGGUCACUCUGUCUCUCCUCCUCUGUCUCUCACGCCUCGUUUGGCUAAGAGUUCAUUGACACCGCAGCGGAGAAGAUCGGCUCGUGAUCACGCUCGCCGCCGAAAAACGUCAGGGAGGAUACAAAUAUAGAAGCGGCGUAGAACUGGAGCGUCACUAGGAGCAAGAUCGAGGAGGAGGUCGGAAGCAUAUACCAAUCCAUCCCAGUUAUUAACACGAAACGGUGAGUCUGGGUACCUGGAUGAGAGAAAUACCCGAGGCUCUCGUGUGUGCCGAUUGAUCUGAACGAGAACUAGUUCCUAUCGCGUGUGUUUCUCGUCGAAGCUCAGUGAUACACGAGAGAUUAAAAGACCCUGGAGUAAUUGACUGCCACGCGAAGCAAUAACCGAUCAGAGGUUCAAACAGAGGACAGUGAAACGAUCGUCUUCCACUCAGACUUAGACGUAUAGAAACGCGAGGAACUCGUACCUCGAGGACAAUCACGAGCAGAGGUUUAGUCAAGGGGAAGCAUAAGGGCGCAGUGAAGUAGCGACGAGGGGGGGUGCGUUCCCUGCAGAGCAGCGGGAGCCAUUCAGGCUGCAGGUUCCUCGUGGUUGGAGCUCUCUUCUGAUGGUACUGAGGGUGACUCAGCACCGGUGGACGAGCGCGAACGAACAGCGCGGUCCCCGUGAACAGGUUCGGCAGAGUCGUCGCCGAGUAACGUCGUCAUGGCUCCACGUGUCCUCGCGCCGACGAUGAUCGCGCUCGCGUUCAUCCUCCACGUCGCCUGCUGGCCGACGAGUGGCCAGGCUGGCCUGGCCAAGUUCUACGACGCCGUACCCGAUCUGCAGGAGAGACGGAUCCCUGUCGACGACUACGCGAUGCACGGACCCAUUGUCGAUGACCACGAGUUCCCCCGAGAUCUCAGGGAGCCCUAUCCCGGCAAAAGCUUCGGACCCAUGGGUCCCAUCGAUGGAUCCCUGCCGGACGACGUGUCCUUUCGAAGCCUGUCAUCCGGUCAAGGCAACGGGGCCAAUUCCAUGGAACACCUGACGUCUCACGCGGUCCAGGAGGCAGAUGCUGCCAAACACUCGAAGCCGGAGUACAAGAUCAUCUCCGUGGAGUUUCACCGCGUCGAGACCCCGUUCGUCAUUGGAAUUUGGAUCUUCUUCGCCAGCAUCGCGAAAAUAGGCUUCCACAUGACGCCAAGGCUCAGCAAGAUCUUUCCAGAGUCCUGUUUACUGAUCGUCGUCGGCGUCGUCGUCGGUGUCUUACUGUUCCAGGCCAGCAGCGUCCACGUGUCACCCCUCACCCCCGACACGUUCUUCCUCUACAUGCUGCCGCCCAUCAUCCUGGACGCCGGCUACUUCAUGCCGAACCGGCUGUUCUUCGACCACCUGGGGACGAUACUCCUGUUCGCCGUCGUCGGGACUAUAUUUAACACCUUGUCGAUAGGAGCUUCGUUAUGGGUGUUGGGUAAGAGUGGACUUUUUGGCUUCGAGACACCACUCCUUCAGAUGUUCCUCUUCUCCGCGUUGAUCAGUGCUGUCGAUCCUGUCGCUGUGCUGGCUGUCUUCGAGGAAAUUCACGUGAACGAGAUCUUGUACAUCGUCGUGUUCGGCGAGAGUCUGUUGAACGACGCUGUCACCGUCGUACUGUACCAUAUGUUCGAGGCGUACAACGAGAUAGGACCUGCGAAUAUACUUUACACGGACCUACUGUCGGGACUGGCUUCGUUCUUCGUGGUCGCGAUCGGUGGCACGAUAAUAGGGGUGAUAUGGGGCUUCGCCACCGGUUUCGUUACGAGGUUCACCCACCAGGUUCGCGUGAUCGAGCCCAUCUUCAUAUUCGUCAUGGCCUACCUGGCUUACCUGAACGCCGAGAUUUUUCACAUGUCCAGCAUACUGGCGAUCACCUUCUGCGGUAUCACGAUGAAGAACUACGUGGAGCCGAACAUCUCGCACAAGUCGCACACCACCAUCAAGUACACCAUGAAGAUGCUGUCCAGCAGCUCGGAGACCAUCAUCUUCAUGUUCCUCGGGGUCGCCACCGUGAACAACCGUCACGACUGGAACACGUGGUUCGUGGUCAUGACCAUAGUCUUCUGCUCGAUCUAUCGGAUCGUAGGCGUAAUCUUCCUGACAGCCGUGGCUAAUCAGUUCCGACUGCACAAGCUGAACAAGGUGGAGAAGUUCGUGAUGUCUUAUGGUGGUUUACGAGGGGCUGUGGCGUUUGCCCUGGUCCUGCUGAUCGACCCGAAACACGUGUCGCUGCAGCCGAUGUUCGUCACCACCACGAUCGCAGUCAUCUACUUCACGGUGUUCAUACAGGGAAUCACGAUCAAGCCUUUGGUAAAGAUCCUGAACGUGAAGCGGGCCGAGAGGAAGAAGCCGACCAUGAACGAAAGGAUCCACGAGCGGAUAAUGGACCACGUGAUGGCUGGGAUCGAGGACAUUUUGGGCAAGCAUGGCAAUUACCACGUUCGGGACAAAUUCAAACGGUUCGAUAAUAAAUUCAUUCGACCGUAUUUGGUGAGGGAUCACUACGGCGCCGAGCCGAAAAUAUUGGAGACCUACUCGAAACUCGCGAUGAAAGAUGCUCUGGAUUACAUUAGGAGAAACGCGUCCACCAUUGGCAAUAUCAGUGGAACUGAAAGCAUGUCCGCGAUAUUCCGCAACUAUAGCAACACGGGACAGUUCAAUGGAAGUCCAAGUUGCAGCCAGCUCGAAGCGGGCUGGAAUAUUGAUCUCCAAGAACUGGGGUACAACCCUUCCAAGAAGGACUUGACGGACGCCAGGAUCCACCACCUAUUGGCCGAGGAACUUUGCAAGCCGUACAAGAGGCAUGGAACGAAACUGUUGCAGCAUCGGAGACUAAGCUACAGCCGUCACGCGGUGAACGAUCGCGACCUCUCGACCCAAGUCAAUUACAAAAUGCACAUGAACAUACGUCGGAUGAUGGGAGAGCACAAGCAUCGUCACAAACGCAGUAAAAAGUUGCUCAAAGACGGUAAGCAGAAUCACGUGAGUUUCCCAGAGUUCCAGCAGAACGGCUCGACGAAGUUGUUCACCCAAGAUUACAUCAAUGGUGUUCUGUACGAGCUGGAGAACGGAGACACCUCAAAGCCCUCGAGCAAGGAUGACUGGGACUCUGCGAUUACCUUCACGGCUCGCACUUCCGACUCGUUGAACGUGAAUGCGGAGAACCACCACGGCGCCACCAGUACUACCUCAAUGGACACCAUAAAUACCGACGAUCCGGACAUGAAAUUGGGACGCGACGAGAGCUACAGGGUAACGACGCCCACGGCCACGGAAACCAUGUUGCCAUGGAAGAGGGAGGACGAUUACGAGUCUGGACACCCGAUUAAACAGAACGAAUUUCCUGCUUGGUGUUCCAACAAAGAGUACCUGGCUUACAGUUCUCCCUCGGCGACGUUCUUAGGAGAGCCGUAUUUGUGAAGACAGGCCAGCUCGACGAGCUCGGAGGAUACUAACCUCGGACUUCCGGCCGAAGAACAUGUGGAAUCGAGCAGCCAAAGGUCCAGUCAGUAAUUGGUCUGUUCCGUCGCGAAAGCGUGUGCACCCCGGACGGUA
rnacentral:misc_RNA from 1 species